UUAUUAGCAAUUAAAUGGAGUAAGAAUAAUUAAAGAAGUUUGCAGCUGUAUUUGUUGAGGUGGCAGGCGGUAGUUGUGGUUUGACUAUAGGCGGUGUAGAUUUGAGUAAAAAGAGAGAAGAAAUGAGAGAGUAAUGGAUUCAAGCAUGAUGUUAGCUAACAAGCAAGUUGUGUUGAAGAAUUAUGUUUGAGUUACGAAGUUCAAUGAUAAGUAGCCAUAUUCCACAAGGAUCAAAGGGUUUAUUUGUCAAGAAUCUUUACUUGGCUUGUGACCCUUAUAUGUGCCACAUGAUGUCUCAUCAUAUAUCCAACGAUGUUCCUUUACUUGCCUCAUUCAAUCCUGGUUCUGUAAUUAUUGGACUUGGUGUGGCCAAAGUUAUUAAAUCCGCAGAUGCAAAUUUUGAGGAGGGGGAUUAUAUCCGGGGAAUGACUGCUUGGGAAGUCUAUACUUUGAUUCUUAAUACCAAUGGACUUUUCAGGAUCAAAUAUACAGAUGUGCCUCUCUCAUACUAUGCUGGAAUUUUAGGUAUGCCAGGACUUACAGCCUAUAUUGGUUUUAAUAAUCUAUGCUCUGCUAAGGAAGGGGAUGUAGUUUAUGUCUCAUUUGCAGCAGGAGGAGUUGGUCAGCUUGUUGGACAAUUUGCGAAAAUGAAAGGUUGAUAUGUCGUUGGCAGUGCUAGUACUGAUGAAAAGGUACGUCUUUUAAAAUCACAACUUGGCUUCGAUGAUGCUUUUAACUACAAACAAGGAAAUGAUCUUGCCGGAGCCUUGAAAAGGCAUUUCCCCAAGGGUAUUGAUGUUUACUUUUAGAACGUUGGAGGAAAUAUGCUGGAUGAGGUGCUUUUGCACAUGAACCUCUAUGGUAGGAUUGCAGUUUCUGGGAUGAUCUCUUAGUACAAUUUAAAGAAACCAGAUGGUAUCCACAAUUUGUUUUGUCUUAUCUCAAAGAGAUUACGAAUGGAAGGUUUUUCUGAGUUUGACUUCUGGCACAAGGUUCCAGAGUACCUCGAGUUUGCUAUUCAGCUAAUAAGAGAGAAAAAACUGCUUUUUGUAGAAGACAUUGCUGAGGGUUUAGAAAAUGCUGCAUCAACUUUUGUUGGUAUUUAUCAUGGGAGAAAUGUUGGAAAGCAGAUUAUUCAAGUUUCAACUGACUAAGAACUUGAAGAAUUUGGGUGAAAACAAAAAAUACUGUGUUUCAAAGCAAUAAGCUGAGGAUAUUGAUUUAGUCCUCCUUUUGAGUAAACUGUUAUAUUAUUUAUUUUUUGUGGUGAAAACGUUGCAGAGUUUCAAAAUAGACAGUAAUGUGUAUUUUAGAAGCACAAAAGUAACUAUGAAAAUUAGUGCUUAAAGGCUAAGAUUGACUAGGAUUUAGGUUUAUCUCCCAUGUAAUAAUUGAUUGAAAGAUCAUAUGACACAAAGCCUUUUAGUC